CCUACGGGUGGCAGCAGUGGGGAAUAUUGCGCAAUGGGCGAAAGCCUGACGCAGCGACGCCGCGUGAGGGAUGAAGGUCUUCGGAUCGUAAACCUCUGUCAGCAGGGAAGAACGGUCACUGUGCUAAUCAGCAGUGAAUUGACGGUACCUGCAAAGGCAGCACCGGCUAACUCCGUGCCAGCAGCCGCGGUAAUACGGAGGGUGCGAGCGUUAAUCGGAAUUACUGGGCGUAAAGCGCUCGUAGGCGGUAUGUCAAGUCAAGGGUGAAAUCCCCGCGCUCAACGUGGGAACUGCCUUUGAAACUGGCAAACUGGAGUGUGUGAGAGGAUAGUGGAAUUCCAGGUGUAGGAGUGAAAGCCGUAGAUAUCUGGAGGAACAUCAGUGGCGAAGGCGACUAUCUGGCACAUAACUGACGCUGAGGAGCGAAAGCGUGGGUAACAAACAGGAUUAGAUACCCUAGUAGUC
rnacentral:rRNA from 1 species